rnacentral:snoRNA from 1 species
UUGGCCCUGAAUCAAGGCCAGCAGUUUGCUGAAGCUGUUGGUUUCAAACAGGAGCCUAAAGAAUUAUCUUUCUAUGGUCUGUCGGCCAUUUCAGAACUUUGGUAAUGUAAUGGUCAAUUCAUUAGAAACAAACAUCU